rnacentral:rRNA from 1 species
GAUGAACGCUGGCGGCGUGCCUAAUACAUGCAAGUCGAGCGAACGGACGAGAAGCUUGCUUCUCUGAUGUUAGCGGCGGACGGGUGAGUAACACGUGGAUAACCUACCUAUAAGACUGGGAUAACUUCGGGAAACCGGAGCUAAUACCGUAUAAUAUUUUGAACCGCAUGGUUCAAAAGUGAAAGACGGUCUUGCUGUCACUUAUAGAUGGAUCCGCGCUGCAUUAGCUAGUUGUUAAGGUAACGGCUUACCAAGGCAACGAUGCAUAACCGACCUGAGAGGGUGAUCGGCCACACUGGAACUGAGACCCGGUCCAGACUCCUACGGGAGGCAGCAGUAGGGAAUCUUCCGCAAUGGGAGAAAGCCUGACGGAGUAACGCCGAGUGAGUGAUGAAGGUCUUCGGAUCGUAAAACUCUGUUAUUAGGGAAGAACAUAUGUGUAAGUAACUGUGCACAUCUUGACGGUACCUAAUCAGAAAGCCACGGCUAACUACGUG